rnacentral:tRNA from 1 species
GCCGAUGUAGCUCAGUGGUAGAGUAGGUGGCUGUUAACCACCCUGCCGCAGGUUCGAACCCUGCCAUCGGCGCCA